rnacentral:tRNA from 1 species
GGAUUAGCUCAGUUGGUAGAGCAGCGCACUUGUAAUGCGAAGGUCGUCAGUUCGAAUCCGACAUCCG